GAUGAACGCUGGCGGCGUGCCUAAUACAUGCAAGUCGAGCGAACAGACGAGGAGCUUGCUCCUCUGACGUUAGCGGCGGACGGGUGAGUAACACGUGGAUAACCUACCUAUAAGACUGGGAUAACUUCGGGAAACCGGAGCUAAUACCGGAUAACAUGUUGAACCGCAUGGUUCAACAGUGAAAGACGGUUUUGCUGUCACUUAUAGAUGGAUCCGCGCCGCAUUAGCUAGUUGGUAAGGUAACGGCUUACCAAGGCAACGAUGCGUAGCCGACCUGAGAGGGUGAUAGGACACACUGGAACUGAGACACGGUCCAGACUCCUACGGGAGGCAGCAGUAGGGAAUCUUCCGCAAUGGGCGAAAGCCUGACGGAGCAACGCCGCGUGAGUGAAGAAGGUCUUCGGAUCGUAAAACUCUGUUAUUAGGGAAGAACAAAUGUGUAAGUAACUAUGCACGUCUUGACGGUACCUAAUCAGAAAGCCACGGCUAACUACGUG
rnacentral:rRNA from 1 species